CCACGUCUAAAUCCAAGGUUUCACCUAACUCAUUGUCACUCCCAAAACUGGAAACUCCCAUGUCCAACCCAUGAAGAAUGAUUGGUUCAGAUCCUCUAUAAAUAAACAAGACCUCCACACCAUGGACAAAAAAAAAAAAAACAACCAAUGAGAAACCUAAACGAAAAAAAAGAAAACAAAAUAAUAGAAAAUAUUAUUGAAAUAAUUAAAAAUAUUUAUUCACUUUUGGGACAUAUUUUAGCAACUGUCCGGAGGGAGAUCUGUCUUGCCCACAUUUAAAUCUAGUGUCUUAUGUGGGUCUGGAAUUAUUAGAAGCUUCAAUUAGAUGUUGGAGGAAUGGAAUUGAAAGCUUUGAAACCUCUCCAGACUGCAUAUACAUCACUUCUGGGUCAAGUACCAAGUCCAAGACCUCCAUUGGUUCGAUGGCCAGAUCCUGGUCUUAUGUGACUAUGUGACAUUACUAGGAACAUGGAACCACCUGGUCAUUGCUAGAGUUUUAUAUCACCUUCGGCUGUUGAGCUCAACAAUUGAAUUGGCUAACAGGAAUUCAAGAAAUCAAAAUUUCUCACUUGGUUCAGGGGAAAAAAAUGGUGUUUAAUUACUUUUCUUCCAAUAAAUGAUCAACAUGCCAA